UUACGGCCAUAUCACGUUGAAAUCACAGUUCUCGUAUGAUUCCCGAAGUUAAGCAACGUUGAGUCUGGUCAUUAUCUAGAUAGGUGACCACUUGGAAAUACCCGAUGCUGUAAG